CUAGUUCUACCUUGGUAUCUGUAUCAACGGGUCCAACUGAAUCAGUUACACCAACCGCUGCAGAGACCACUUUGCCAACUGAACCUACAGGUUCUACAGAUACAGUAACAACUGAGCCUACCGGUACCACCUCAGAAUCUCAAUCAACCAGUCAAACUGAUGCAGCAACAUCCGAGCCUGCUGGUUCUACCUUGGUAUCUGUAUCAACGGGUCCAACUGAAUCAGUUACACCAACCGCUGCAGAGACCACUUUGCCAACUGAACCUACAGGUUCUACAGAUACAGUAACAACUGAGCCUACCGGUACCACCUCAGAAUCUCAAUCAACCAGUCAAACUGAUGCAGCAACAUCCGAGCCUGCUAGUUCUACCUUGGUAUCUGUAUCAACGGGUCCAACUGAAUCAGUUACACCAACCGCUGCAGAGACCACUUUGCCAACUGAACCUACAGGUUCUACAGAUACAGUAACAACUGAGUCCUACCGGUACCACCUCAGAAUCUCAAUCAACCAGUCAAACUGAUGCAGCAACAUCCGAGCCUGCUGGUUCUACCUUGGUAUCUGUAUCAACGGGUCCAACUGAAUCAGUUACACCAACCGCUGCAGAGACCACUUUGCCAACUGAACCUACAGGUUCUACAGAUACAGUAACAACUGAGCCUACCGGUACCACCUCAGAAUCUCAAUCAACCAGUCAAACUGAUGCAGCAACAUCCGAGCCUGCUAGUUCUACCUUGGUAUCUGAACCAUCCACAACACAAACAACUACACAACCACCCAUACCAUCAACCAAACCAUCAACUGACCCACCAACCACAUCACCAACACCACCAACUACCACAGCAACAACUCAAACAACCAUUCGACCAAUCAUCACAGUGGAGCCCCUUGUUUGCCAAAAUGGGGGACACUUCAAUGGCUCCAUCUGCAUAUGUCUUGGUGGAUAUAAUGGAAUCUAUUGUGAAUUUGUUGACACUAUUGAGCCAGGUACUCUCAACUUUUUGCAAGCUCUGUCAUUUUUACGUCCAACUAAAAGUUAUUGAGCACAAUUUUUUGUUAGUUGUCCUAAUUUGUUUGUGGUCUCCAAUAUGCUUGAUUCUUUUUGCAGAUAUAUUUAACAGGUCAGUCAUUGUUAAUGUGGUGAUCGAUCAGGAAUUCAAUACAAAAUAUGAAGACAAAACGUCACCUGAAUACAAAACCUUUGUUGGAGAUUUCACCGACCAGAUGGAAACAUAUUACCAUGGAAAGAACCUAUCAAACUUUAAAGAAGUGGUGGUAACUAGUGUGAGCCGUGGAGCCACUUUGGUCAAAUUAUCAGAUAACACUGUGGAAGAGAUGAGAUUAUCAUCUGAAGUUAUACCUAUCUACAGUAUCGCACCAAGAGCAGAAGGUGUUAGCGUCACACAUGAAGUGGUUUUGGCAAUUCCAAACAACGUCAACUCUGACCUUGUAUAUGACGAUGACUUUAACGCAGUUGAGGAUGCUCUUCAAGGGCUUAUUGACUGCGAAAAUUGUCCUUUCACCGUCAUAGCUCCGCCCAUACUUAAUAAAACAGAGGUGGAUUUGCAAUCUCUCUGUGAAAGGUUUGUGGAUAAUGCAGAUGUUGCUGAAUUCUACGAACCUGUGAAUGUCACUGGAAAAAUCGCGUGUGUGACUGUAUGUAACAUAUUACAUACAAGGUUUAAAUUAUGUCAAAAUGAAGGAGUCUGCAGAAUAUACAGCAACGUUGGACCUCUUUGCCAUUGCCAACAUGUGGAGUCCACUUGGUACUUGGGCGAUGACUGUAACUUCCCGAUACACAAAAUUCCCUUCUUCAUAGGAUUAUCUUUGACCCUAUGUUGUCUGUUGUUGACUGUGAUAGGCUUAACUCUAGGCCUACUGGUCACCAGACACAAGCAACAAUUGAAGAGAGACUUUAAAGAAACGCAGGUGAAUCAGUGGAUUAGUGAGGACUUUCAGUGGUCCAGAGCCAACACUAACACUUUUACAUCUACUGCUGGAGACUACAUAAACCGUUCAUUCACACAUGACAUGGAUCCUGACAGCAGACGGUCACAAAGAGCACACGGAUACAAUGCUCCAUCUUCUACUGCUGGAAACUCCCAGUCUUCCAGCAUACCGCUGAGAGACUUCCCAUCCAACCAGUCGAUGAGGACGUGGGACGUCUGAGCAGCGCCCUGAAGUCUCAACUUUCUUUCUAAAUAUGUUUUGAUUAUGAUGACUUACUGAUGAAUACUUGCUAUUAUGUCUUUUUGCUGCUUAUUAUAAACACCUAAAAUGCAUCAGUUAUAAUUUCUAUUUAUAUACAUCUAAAAUGCAGCAGAUAUAAUAGUUUUAUAUAUAUAUAUAUAUAUAUAUAUUUAUAUACUAGAUAUUUAAAUAAUUGCUUGAUUUAUUUAUUUAUUUCUUAAACUGACAGCAGGACAGUGCUUUAUGUAUGAGUCUAUUAUACAGCCCUGUCAUAAAAUCUACCUUUAUGAAUCUUGUGACACUGUGUCAUGGAGGAAGUGAUUCCCCUCUGUGCUCAUUUUAUCAUCCGACUUUAAAACCCCCAGUGAAGACUCCACAUGUGACUUUGCACACAAUAACUUUGAUGUUUCUCCAACCGCUGAAGUUUUUGAAAUGUAAACGUUUUGAGUACAUUAGCUGCCCACUGCUCCUAGUACUAGACUUCUGGUACUAGGAUGGGUUAAAAGCAGAGAACAAAUUUCACUGUGCGGUGUGCUCUGCAUGUGUGACCAUUAAAAAGAGGUGUUCAUCCCUCCGAUUCUAAUUCUACUGAGUGUUGCAUUGUUGGAGCAGCCUGGGAUUUAAGAUUUCCAUUGCCAGCAACUUGAAGAAGCUGAAAUUAUUAUUAUUAUUAUUAUUAUUAUUAUUAUUAUUAUUAUUAUUAUUAUUAUUAUUAUUAUUAUAUAAUGUAACUAUUGUCCACUGAACUAGUGAUUUAGUUUUAUAUUUUUUUCUGUUUUUGAGUGAUGCUUAAUGCACUGUAAAUAAAAAAAGUACCAUGACUAAAAGGUUUUCCAUCAGUUCUUGAUGAUUAUUAAUGAAAACUUGCACUAUUUGACGUUCAUCGCAGUUUUGUCC
rnacentral:lncRNA from 1 species